rnacentral:rRNA from 1 species
CCUACGGGUGGCAGCAGUGAGGAAUAUUGGUCAAUGGCCGGAAGGCUGAACCAGCCAAGUCGCGUGAGGGACGACUGCCCUAUGUAUUGUAAACCUCUUUUGUCAGGGAACAAUGACUGCUACUUGUACCCUGAUGCGUGUACCUGAUGAAUAAGCAUCGGCUAACUCCGUGCCAGCAGCCGCGGUAAUACGGAGGAUGCGAGCGUUAUCCGGAUUUAUUGGGUUUAAAGGGUGCGUAGGCGGUUUGUUAAGUUAGUGGUUAAACGUCGGGGCUUCACCUCGGUGUGCCAUUAAUACUGUAAGACUCGAGUUGAGACGAGGUAGGCGGAAUAAGCUAAGUAGCGGUGAAAUGCUUAGAUAUAACUUAGAACCCCGAUAGCGAAGGCAGCUUACCGG